rfam:Rattus norvegicus chromosome X, whole genome shotgun sequence.
UGUAAGGAUGAUCUGGCUGAGGUAUCUGUCACCCCAUUGAUUGCCAGCUGUGAUUCAACUGAUCUGGCUGCCUAGGCAGGCGCCAGCUUCCUCCCUCACUGGUUCAUGUGUGCUUGGUAAAACAAGGGGAAGAAUGGUCUCUGGUCAAGGGUAUAGGCGUAGCUGUGCUACCCUGCUAGAGCCCCCAAACAAGCUCUCAAUAUCCUGUAUAUGUUUUCAAAGUUAAUCCUCCAUUAAGUAACUAAAAACAAUAAAGUUUGUUAAAAGUCAGGUAUAUUUAAUCAGGUCUU